UUCUUGGUCCAGCCACAGGUAAUGAGGAUAUACUGCUUCUGUGUUGAGGAAGAGUGUCCUAAAGGUUCUGGCAAUUUGCACCAGGCUGGCAGAAAAUUCCUAUAAAUACCAUCUGAAAUGUUGUCAAGCACAUGGACAUGCUAAUAGGAAUACUGUAACAGCAUUCAUCUGUGCAAAAUUAAUGCCAGAGGUAUUUUUUUUGCAUUUUGUUUUGAGUCCUAGAAUAAAAGGGAAAAAAAGGGUUUUUUUUAUUGUUUUCUUGACACUAAAAAAUGAGACCAUGGGUCUAACGAACAGUCAAAGAAUGAAUACUAUGUAUUAGAGCCAGAGGCAAAAGAAAAUCGAUGUGAGUAGGCUCAAGUAGUAGGGCUUUCAGAGGUUCUUACAAAGUCUCUCUCCCUAAAGAACACUUCGUGAGUUUCAAAGCAAAUAUAAGACACUAAAGAAAAGGAACUGGGGAAAUUCUCUAAGCUUGGCUCUGGUCUCCUUCCUGAUGUUGACUCAGAUGAACUCCCCUCGGAGUCAAAAAGUGGGCUACUGUGCUACCCAGAGGGCAUCCUGAAUGUUUGGCCACUUGUAAGUGAUGGAUUAGACCUCAACAAAAACCAAAUAACUAGUAUUUAUAAAGCGCCUUUCAACCAAAAAGCUCAAAACGCAAUUACAAGCAUCAUCUCAUUAAUCCUCAAAACACACCUUUGGGGCUAAAGAAAAAAGAACUAUUUAUAUACUAUGAGCUUGAUCCUACCAUGUGCCAAGGAAAUAAAUUAAUCUCUUGGAGGAGAAAACUGAUCAACUGGGGGAAGUGAAUUAACAGACUAAGAGCACAAGGGCAUUAUUAAGUAAGCAAGAUUCUCCAGACUUAGUUGGGUGGUUCUGUGAGCCAAGGGAUCCACCUUUCCCAAGUGAUGAGAUGUUUGCUUCUGGAAAGCAGUGUGGGUCACCCAGGCAUACCCUAACUUGGCCAAGGAAUCUUACUAUCUCAUGUGUAUUGGAAAUGUUCAGGAAUGUAAGACAUAUGUGGAAAACCAUACUAUUCCCUUCCUGUAUCAAAGUAAUUUUGUAUCAAUUCACCAUUUCUAGGCUACUGGAGUUAAGCUGUUGAAGCAAAGAUGGCUCAAACAUGAACGAAAAGAGCAUUGGCUGUGGAGUCUGAGAGACUCUGGGUGAAAUCCUAUCUCAGACAUUUACCAUUUCUGUGAACUUGAACAAUUUACUUACUUUAGAUGACUAGAGUUUCUUCACUUAAAAAAAAAAGAAGAUAAUAAUAACCUUUAUUGCAAGGUUUUAUACAAAUUAAAUGCAAUAAUCCAGGAAAGAGCUUAGUUUAGGAGGUGUUCAAAGAGGUUGAGAAUGGGGAGAGUUUACGAUUUAUUUUAAUUCUCAGGAUCUUUCCCUAACACAUGUUGGGAGAUGAGGACCAUGGUAGAGAUGUAACCCUGGUCAAUGUCCAGGUAUCCAAGUGACCAUGUCUCAAUUCCUUAACCUUUGUUCCUGGCUGAGGGAAGCUAGUAUUAUAUCAUAAGGACACGUAAGCCCUUUGGAGAGACCUACAUGUUCAAGGACCUGAGGCUACCAGACCCUCCAUGCCUAUGUAAGUCUUGAGAUGACUGCAGACCCAGUUGCGAUCUUGAUGUCAACUCAUCAGCCACCUUGAUCCAGAUCCAGUCAACUAAGUUGCUACCAAAUCCUGAACCUACAGAAACUGUGGAAUGGGCACAUUAGCAAACAGGAUGUAAGUGGAGUUUUGAACAGCCUUGGCAUGAUAGUGCUGCCCUCUCACGCCGCUGAAGCCCGAGACUGCCAUAUCAAGAAAGCCAAAACCAGUCUCAGCUCCUGGAGGAUGAGAGAUCAUGAGAAGAAAGACCCCAGCCAUCCAAGCCACUCCUCCAGUUUAGCUGAGGCCCCAAACAUGUGAGGGAGGCCAUCAAGACCAUCUAGCUCCAUCCAAGCCAACCAAAAAACACACCUAUAAGACCCACAGACACAUGAGCCAAUCAGUAACAAAGGUUUGGAACGAUUCUGUUAUUCAGAUACAGCCAGGGAGUUGGGAAAUCCAGCAAGGACUGGGAAGCAGAGAUUGGGUAAAUGAAGCAGCUUCCUGUGUGAGGGUUUCCAUCAAGGACCAACAGAAAGAGGGGGAGGUGCUCAGCUGCUAUCUGUGGAGUCAGAGGAGCUUGUGUGGUGCAAGCCUUAGGGGUCCUGGAAUGGAGACAGGAAGGCAUCAGGACCUGCUACCUAUAUUUAGCCCUCUUGUUCAUUCUUAAGAGAUAAUUAUCUAUUCGAAGGAAAGGGAUGCAGUAACACAGCUCCUCAGAGGAGAGGGACAGGUCAGGAACCUGAGGAAGCCGGGACAGGGCAGGCAAACCAGAGAAGCGCUGAUACUUCUCUGGUCCCCAUUUCUAGCUUGGACCAGAUUAAGAGUGGGAGGGUGGUGGGGCUGACUCUAGAGGUAACAAGGGGCUAUUCAGCAACUUAUGUAACCUCCUGUCAUCAUUAUUCAAAUGAGGGGUAGAUAGAGGCUUGUAAGAAAGGCAGGCUGGACUUAAUGGCAAGAUGUUCUGGAACUGUAGCCCCUACCUACCAAUGGAUUUUUUUUUUUUUUUUUUUUUUUUUUUUUUACUCAGUAAAGGAUUCCGCGGGGAAUAGAAAAGGAUUGCCUUUUUUUCUGAGCUAACAUCGCCUUUACUCCCAUCCCUUACUCCAACCUUCGAACCAAAGCAAACCAUUGAUGUUCCUGCAGGAUAUGAAUAAUCACUGAUUACAAAUAGCGUUCCUGAGGUUUAGAAUAGAAAGAUCCGCUUCACCACACUCCCUACUAAUACAAGACAAUAAAAACAAAGCAAAACACUGAAUUGAAGACCAAAACCAGACAAAACAACAUUCCCACCUUGCAAUUUUGGCUUUUAAAAAGCAGGCCCUGCCUUUUCAACUCCUUUUAAAGCUAAUGGAUCGGCGAAAAGUGACCUUCAUAAACUCACUGAGGAGAGUUUAGAAGUUAUUUUUCCAGGACUUAAUAGCUGGUGUCAGAAUUGUAUUACGUUAGCAUGGCAGUUGGAUUGUAGAGAGAAGCAUCAAAACAAUCAAAAGCUAAGGGAUUAAAUAAAGAGUAAGAACAACUAACAUCUAGAUGUUUUGACUGACAACUCCAAUGACACAUAGUUGUCAAUAAUUAGAAGUAUGUCAUGUUUUAAGUCACAACUCGAGUAUUAGCUCAAAUUGUAAAUGUAUUGGCCAGAAUAGCAAUUUCUUAAAAGAAAAUCAGUUUUUUUUAAUACUUUUAAGAAAGUGGUCAACAAUUCUGCAAUAUUAUCCAUACAUUUAAAAUAUUUACCUAGAACCCAGACUCCUCUAUCCUGCAAGUGAAUAUCAGUUCUUGAGGGCAUGUUUUGUUGCUGUUGCUAUUGUUCGGUAUGAAACUAUAAUCACCUUACAAACAAGAUUUAAAGAAAAAUAUUUUCACACCAUCCUACUUCCACAAUCCCUUUUCUAACACAGAGUGACAUGAAAUACUGACACAUAUUAAGUGCUCAAGAAUAUUCAUGAAAUUGAUGACUAGACUACUGCUACCUCAAACAGAGGCAGGUGCUCUGACUCCAAUAAAUUAUUAACUUAUUAUCUUUGAAAGCUUAAAUGAUUACCAAGGUUCUUAUAACCUCUUAAAACCUACAAAUUUGAAAUAUAUUAAUAAAAUAUUAAUAACUCUCCCUUCUUUUAACUAUUUAAUAUAAAAUAUUAAAUAACAUGAUAUUAAAUCUUGGUUAUCUGAGGACUAUCUAAA